UGACAAUUUACUUCAAAGAAAAUAAGCUACCAUCAUAAUCAUUCUAUCACUCACUCACGGAAAUACUUACCUCUCAUGUUAUAAUCAACUAUCGCCAUCAUCUCUGUCCGCUACGUCAUCGCUGCAAGCUAGCUUCAUCACCAAUACUACUCCCUCCAGCGUCCUUUCUACCCAACUUCCUUCCAUCUCCAGCCCAUCCUCCGCCUCCGUGUUAGUCGUCCUCUCAGACGAUUCGGGAUCUCAAAACCUAAUCCCUCAACCACUCGUAUAGCUUUCUAAAUACAGUUUUAUGUGAAUCGAUUACAAAAGAGGAGAGUAAUUGAUUUGUAACCGAUGACGAUCGAGUUUCGUAGUAGGCGAUUCACACAAACCAAUAACAAAGAGUUUUCUGAUGCUGACACGUGUCGGCAAAAGCCCCACUC
rnacentral:lncRNA from 1 species